UGUAAGCGUAUACCAAAGUUGUUGCAGUUAAAACGCUCGUAGUCGGAAUUUGGCAGUUCCGGAUGUGUGCACGUCGUGUGCGCACUUCGCGGGGAUUGCUUUUGUGGUCUUGCGUAGGAUGAGGCACUUUUAUUAGUGAACGUCCUCACGCAACCACUUUUUACUGUGAGAAAAUCAGAGUGCUCAAAGCAGGCAUUUGCCGUGAAUGUAUUAGCAUGGAAUAAUAGAAUAGGACUUGGUUCUAUUUUGUUGGUUUGUUGGGACUGAGUAAUGAUUAAGAGGGACAGUUGGGGGCAUUUGUAUUUCGGUGCUAGAGGUGAAAUUCUUAGAUUACCGAAAAACAAACUGCUGCGAAAGCGUCUGCCAAGGAUGUUUUCAUUGA
rnacentral:rRNA from 1 species